CAAAGAAGGCGGGGGUGGGGGUAGCAGCAGAAGGAGCUACUCCCCGGCCGCUGCACAGUGACCAGAGCAGCCCGCGAUCAGAGCUCUGAACCCGACUAGUUCCUGGCUUCCUCUUCGGUUCCCUCCUCCUUCUGCAGCGACAACCCCCAGGGUCUCUCCGUAGAGCCUUCGAGAGCCCACGGUGGCCCGGGGCGCCGCGCCCUGACCCGCGCUCUAGGGUCGUGGAGGACUGCGCCCCAUCUGGGAAGACUGCGGCGCUAAGCCUCAAGUACCCCAGGGACACUGAGAAAUCGAAAAACGCGAGUCAGAGCAACUCCCGCCCCCCAGGAGCUGGGAACAAAGACCCCUUUGUUCAGCUCUGUCCCUCUCCCGAGAGACCAGAGUCCCGUGGGUGUGGUGUCGUGGAGGGGAGGAGACAGGUCACUGCAGGUAACCCGCCUCCGCCUAGAACUUGGGAGGGGGAGGCACCCCACCGUGGUGUCCUAGGUAGCAAAGGCCGCCUGGGGCUCUGGAGGGAGGUGUCCCCCUUCAGGUGCACCUGCCAGCCCCAGCUCCAAGUCAGCUGAGUGCCUGCUACUCGGAUGAUGGGGUCUCUCCAGGUGUGAGGUUUGUGAACUCUCCUCGGCUCCGAAAGGAAUUUCAGCUAUAAACAAUGAUGGACUUGCACAAAGAUAAAGCGGUUAUUCCGUAAGAUGUCCGUAGAACUCUUUCCUCUCAAAAAUAAUGGAGAUCAUAAGUGUGCCCCACUUUCUUUGACAAGAGUGCUAUGGAGAACAGAUGCAAUAAUGCGUAUGGAAAUGUUUCAUAAGAUGCUGGACAAAUGAGCCUGGCCAUCAUUAUAAUUAUCUCCUAUUUAGAGAAGUCCAGCCCUUCCGUCAUGGGCAAACGGAUGGCAAAGUAUUCGGCAAUGAGAGUCUACAAGGCAGUGCCUUCUGACGUUCUUUGAAAUAAAAAAGGACAAGAAUUAAUAAAAAAUAUGAUGCUUCAUCAUAAAGGGAUGAGCCAAGACAUGCCUUUGUGGAUCCUGCAGCUGCCUGUUUGUCCUUAGAACCAGAGGCCUCUCAGCAGAAAAGAAGCAUAAGAUAUGCAGGUAAAAGAUGCUGUGAAAGGGCAAAGGGACACUGCUUUCUGGACACUCGUCUCUCACCCUCAGGUUCCAUGGGGCUGCCUGCCCCAAGCCUGAACUCUGCCAGUUACUUACCAAGGGAAAUGUCUGAUUCGAAUGAAC
rnacentral:lncRNA from 1 species